AGAUUGAACGCUGGCGGCAUGCCUAACACAUGCAAGUCGAACGGGAGUAGCAAUACUCUAGUGGCGGACGGGUGAGGAAUACGUAGGAAUUUGCCCUUAAGUGGGGGAUAACCCGGGAAACCCGGAUUAAUACCGCAUGACCUCGAAAGAGCAAAGUGGGGGAUCGCAAGACCUCAACGCUUUUGGAGAAGCCUACGUCGGAUUAGCUAGUUGGUGAGGUAAUGGACUCACCAAGGCGACGAUCCGUAACUGGUCUGAGAGGAUGAUCAGUCACACCGGAACUGAGACACGGUCCGGACUCCUACGGGAGGCAGCAGUGGGGAAUAUUGGACAAUGGGCGCAAGCCUGAUCCAGCAAAUGCCGCGUGUGUGAAGAAGGCCUUCGGUUGUAAAGCACUUUAAGUUAGGGUAAGAAAAACUACGACGUACUAACGUAACCAGUAGAGUCUUGACGGUACCGUACAGAAUAAGACAACCG
rnacentral:rRNA from 1 species